rnacentral:rRNA from 1 species
CAGCAGCCACGGGAAUACGAAGGGUGCAAGCGUUACUCGGAAUUACUGGGCGUAAAGCGUGUGUAGGUGGUUGUAUAAGUCUGUCGUGAAAGCCCUGGGCUCAACCUGGGAAUUGCGAUGGAUACUGGGCGACUAGAGUGCGGUAGAGGAUAGUGGAAUUUCCGGUGUAGCAGUGAAAUGCGUAGAGAUCGGAAGGAACAUCUGUGGCGAAGGCGACUAUCUGGGCCAACACUGACACUGAGACACGAAAGCGUGGGGAGCAAACAGGAUUAGAUACCCCAGUAGUCCCUGUCUCUUAUAA